rnacentral:rRNA from 1 species
UUGAAACUGGGAAACUAGAGUAUGUGAGAGGGGGCUAGAAUUCCAAGUGUAGCGGUGAAAUGCGUAGAGAUUUGGAGGAAUACCAGUGGCGAAGGCGGCCCCCUGGCACAAUACUGACGCUCAGGUGCGAAAGCGUGGGGAGCAAACAGGAUUAGAUACCCUGGUAGUCCACGCCGUAAACGAUGUCUACUAGCUGUUCGUGGUCUUGUAUCGUGAGUAGCGCAGCUAACGCACUAAGUAGACCGCCUGGGGAGUACGGUCGCAAGAUUAAAACUCAAAUGAAUUGACGGGGGCCCGCACAAGCGGUGGAGCAUGUGGUUUAAUUCGACGCAACGCGAAGAACCUUACCUACUCUUGACAUCUAGCGAAGAUUGUAGAGAUACGAUUGUGCCUUCGGGAACGCUAAGACAGGUGCUGCAUGGCUGUCGUCAGCUCGUGUUGUGAAAUGUUGGGUUAAGUCCCGCAACGAGCGCAAC